rnacentral:rRNA from 1 species
CCCUUAGAUGUUCUGGGCCGCACGCGUGCUACACUGAGUGGAUCAGCGGGUCAGGUUGCGCGAAAGCGUUUCCUAAUCUUUAAAUCCGCUCGUGAUGGGGAUUGACGGUUGCAAUUUUCUGUCAUGAACGAGGAAUACCUUGUAAGCGCGGGUCAUCAUCCCGCGCUGAAUACGUCCCUGCCCUUUGUACACACCGCCCGUCGCUCCUACCGAUUGAGUGGUCCGGUGAGGCUUUGGGAUCUGAGCGGAAAGAGCGUUUCGCUGUUUCUGCUCGGAAAACUCAGUCGAACCUUAUCAUUCAGAGGAAGGAGAAGUCGUAACA